rnacentral:tRNA from 1 species
UGGGGAUUCGUCUAGUGGUAGGACAGCGGACUCUGGAUCCGUUAGCCCAGGUUCGAAUCCUGGAUCCCCAGCCA